rnacentral:rRNA from 1 species
AUGAACGCUGGCGGCGUGCCUAAUACAUGCAAGUCGAGCGAACAGACGAGGAGCUUGCUCCUCUGACGUUAGCGGCGGACGGGUGAGUAACACGUGGAUAACCUACCUAUAAGACUGGGAUAACUUCGGGAAACCGGAGCUAAUACCGGAUAAUAUAUUGAACCGCAUGGUUCAAUAGUGAAAGACGGUUUUGCUGUCACUUAUAGAUGGAUCCGCGCCGCAUUAGCUAGUUGGUAAGGUAACGGCUUACCAAGGCAACGAUGCGUAGCCGACCUGAGAGGGUGAUCGGCCACACUGGAACUGAGGCACGGUCCAGACUCCGACGGGAGGCAGCAGUAGGGAAUCUUCCGCAAUGGGCGGAAGCUUGACGGAGCAACGCCGCGUGAGUGAUGAAGGUCUUCGGAUCGUAAAACUCUGUUAUUAGGGAAGAACAAAUGUGUAAGUAACUAUGCACGUCUUGACGGUACCUAAUCAGAAAGCCACGGCUAACUACGU